GAUGAACGCUAGCGACAGGCCUAACACAUGCAAGUCGAGGGGUAGCACAGAAUAGCUUGCUAUUUGGGUGACGACCGGCGCACGGGUGAGUAACGCGUAUGCAACCUGCCUAUAAGAGGGGGAUAGCCUUUCGAAAGAAAGAUUAAUACCGCAUAAUACUGUUUGUCUGCAUGGAUGAACAGUUAAACUAUUUGGCUUAUAGAUGGGCAUGCGUUCAAUUAGGUAGUUGGAGAGGUAACGGCUCACCAAGUCAGCGAUGGAUAGGGGUUCUGAGAAGAAGGUCCCCCACACUGGUACUGAGACACGGACCAGACUCCUACGGGAGGCAGCAGUGAGGAAUAUUGGUCAAUGGGCGAGAGCCUGAACCAGCCAAGUCGCGUGAAGGAUGAAGGUCUUAUGGAUUGUAAACUUCUUUUAUAAGGGAAUAAAAAGGAUCACGAGUGGUAUAUUGCAUGUACCUUAUGAAUAAGCAUCGGCUAACUCCGUGCCAGCCGCCGCCGUAACAC
rnacentral:rRNA from 1 species